AGGGCGCAAGGGGAAUGCCUUGGCACUGAGAGCCGACGAAGGACGCGACAAGCUGCGAUAAGCUACGGGGAGCCGCAAAUGGGCUUUGAUCCGUAGAUUUCCGAAUGGGGAAACCCGGCAGAGCAAUACUCUGUCAACGUACACUGAAUACAUAGGUGUACGUGGGGAACCGCCUGAACUGAAACAUCUAAGUAGGGCGAGGAAGAGAAAUCAACCGAGAUUCCGCUAGUAGUGGCGAGCGAACGCGGAAGAGGCCAAACCGGAGGUAGCAAUAUUUCCGGGGUUAGGACUGCAAUAUGUAACUUUAAUCUUUAACUGAAUGCUUUGGGAAGAGCAGCGAUACAGGGUGACAGCCCCGUAAGUGAAAAGGAUUGAGUGCUAGCAGUAUCCAGAGUACCAGCGGACACGUGAAACCCGCUGGGAAGAUGGGGGGACCAUCCUCCAAGCCUAAAUACUACUCAGUGACCGAUAGUGGAGCAGUACCGUGAGGGAAAGGUGAAAAGUACCCCGGGAGGGGAGUGAAAGAGAACCUGAAACCUUGUGCCUACAAGCACCGAGAGCACGUUAAAGUGUGAUCGGGUACUUUUUGUAGAACGGUCCGGCGAGUUAAUAUUUGCAGCGAGGUUAAGUAACUGGAGUUACGGAGCCGUAGCGAGAGCGAGUCUGAAUAGGGCGUAUGAAGUUGCAGGUAUUAGACCCGAAACCGGGUGACCUAUCCAUGAGCAGGCUGAAGCGGUGGUAAGACACCGUGGAGGGCCGCACCCACGUCUGUUGAAAAAGCCGGGGAUGACUUGUGGAUAGCGGAGAAAUUCCAAUCGAACUCGGAGAUAGCUGGUUCUCCCCGAAAUAGCUUUAGGGCUAGCGUUAUUUUAGAUUACCGGAGGUAAAGCACUGAAUGGUCUAGGGGCCGCGAGGUUACCAAAGCCUAUCAAACUCUGAAUGCCGGAUAAUUGAUGAAUAGCAGUCAGACUGUGUGAGAUAAGUCUCAUAGUCAAAAGGGAAACAGCCCAGAUCUACAGCUAAGGUCCCAAAUGAACACUAAGUGGAAAAUGAUGUGAAACUGCGAAGACAACCAGGAUGUUGGCUUAGAAGCAGCCACUCAUUCAAAGAGUGCGUAAUAGCUCACUGGUCGAGUGGUUUUGCGCAGAAAAUGUAACGGGGCUAAGUGUUCAACCGAAGCUUAGGCAUUGCAGUAAUGCAUUGGGUAGGGGAGCGUCGUAUGCGGGGCGAAGUCAGAGCGGAAGCACUGGUGGACUGCAUACGAGUGAGAAUGCCGGAAUAAGUAGCGAGAAUUAUGUGAGAAUCAUAAUGGCCGAAAAUCUAAGGUUUCCUGGGGAAGGUUCGUCCGCCCAGGGUUAGUCGGGAGCUAAGCUCAGGCCGAAAGGCGUAGGCGAUGCACAUACGGUAGAAAUUCCGUAACCACCGAACUUUAAGCUAGAGGGACGCUUUCUUUAAGGUUAUCCCGGGCGAUGGUUGCCCCGGGCGUAAGGGACCGAAAUUUAGUAGGGAAGUAACUGGCGAGAGAGACGAGAAAAGCUCUAGUGUAUACUAAGGUGCCCGUACCGCAAACCGACACAGGUAGAAGGGAUGAGUAUUCUAAGGCCAACGGGAGAAGGGUUGUUAAGGAACUCGGCAAAUUGGCCCCGUAACUUCGGGAUAAGGGGCGCCUGCGAGAGCAGGCCGCAGUGAAAAGGCCCAAGCGACUGUUUAGCAAAAACACAGCUCUCUGCUAAAUCGAAAGAUGACGUAUAGGGGGUGACGCCUGCCCGGUGCUGGAAGGUUAAGGGGAGUGCUUAGCGCAAGCGAAGGUGCGAACUUAAGCCCCAGUAAACGGCGGCCGUAACUAUAACGGUCCUAAGGUAGCGAAAUUCCUUGUCAGGUAAGUUCUGACCCGCACGAAUGGCGUAACGAUUUGGGCACUGUCUCAACAGCCCGCCCGGCGAAAUUGUAGUACCGGUGAAGAUGCCGGUUUCCCGCAACUAGACGGAAAGACCCCAUGGAGCUUCACUGCUGUCUCUUAUACACAUCUGACGCUGCCGACGAAGAGGAUAGUGUAGAUCUAGGUGGUCGCCGUAUGACUAAAAAAAAAAAAAGAAAAAAGCAAAAAAAAAAAGACAAGACAUAAUAA
rnacentral:rRNA from 1 species